GUAUGAAAUGAUGCCUUACCAUCUUUCGGGACUGACUGUAAUGGAGAAAUUCUUUCACUUUACUGAUCAUAC